rnacentral:rRNA from 1 species
GAUGAACGCUGGCGGCGUGCCUAAUACAUGCAAGUCGAGCGAACGGACGAGAAGCUUGCUUCUCUGAUGUUAGCGGCGGACGGGUGAGUAACACGUGGAUAACCUACCUAUAAGACUGGGAUAACUUCGGGAAACCGGAGCUAAUACCGGAUAAUAUUUUGAACCGCAUGGUUCAAAAGUGAAAGACGGUCUUGCUGUCACUUAUAGAUGGAUCCGCGCUGCAUUAGCUAGUUGGUAAGGUAACGGCUUACCAAGGCAACGAUGCAUAGCCGACCUGAGAGGGUGAUCGGCCACACUGGAACUGAGACACGGUCCAGACUCCUACGGGAGGCAGCAGUAGGGAAUCUUCCGCAAUGGGCGAAAGCCUGACGGAGCAACGCCGCGUGAGUGAUGAAGGUCUUCGGAUCGUAAAACUCUGUUAUUAGGGAAGAACAUAUGUGUAAGUAACUGUGCACAUCUUGACGGUACCUAAUCAGAAAGCCACGGCUAACUACGUGCCAGCAGCCGCGGUAAUACGUAGGUGGCAAGCGUUAUCCGGAAUUAUUGGGCGUAAAGCGCGCGUAGGCGGUUUUUUAAGUCUGAUGUGAAAGCCCACGGCUCAACCGUGGAGGGUCAUUGGAAACUGGAAAACUUGAGUGCAGAAGAGGAAAGUGGAAUUCCAUGUGUAGCGGUGAAAUGCGCAGAGAUAUGGAGGAACACCAGUGGCGAAGGCGACUUUCUGGUCUGUAACUGACGCUGAUGUGCGAAAGCGUGGGGAUCAAACAGGAUUAGAUACCCUGGUAGUCCACGCCGUAAACGAUGAGUGCUAAGUGUUAGGGGGUUUCCGCCCCUUAGUGCUGCAGCUAACGCAUUAAGCACUCCGCCUGGGGAGUACGACCGCAAGGUUGAAACUCAAAGGAAUUGACGGGGACCCGCACAAGCGGUGGAGCAUGUGGUUUAAUUCGAAGCAACGCGAAGAACCUUACCAAAUCUUGACAUCCUUUGACAACUCUAGAGAUAGAGCCUUCCCCUUCGGGGGACAAAGUGACAGGUGGUGCAUGGUUGUCGUCAGCUCGUGUCGUGAGAUGUUGGGUUAAGUCCCGCAACGAGCGCAACCCUUAAGCUUAGUUGCCAUCAUUAAGUUGGGCACUCUAAGUUGACUGCCGGUGACAAACCGGAGGAAGGUGGGGAUGACGUCAAAUCAUCAUGCCCCUUAUGAUUUGGGCUACACACGUGCUACAAUGGACAAUACAAAGGGCAGCGAAACCGCGAGGUCAAGCAAAUCCCAUAAAGUUGUUCUCAGUUCGGAUUGUAGUCUGCAACUCGACUACAUGAAGCUGGAAUCGCUAGUAAUCGUAGAUCAGCAUGCUACGGAGAAUACGUUCCCGGGUCU